GACUUUAUGGCCCAAUGGAUAAGGCGCUGGUCUACGAAACCAAAGAUUUUGGGUCCGAUCCCCAUUGAAAUUG
rfam:Ipomoea nil DNA, scaffold: scaffold2647, cultivar: Tokyo-kokei standard.